GGAAGCAAUAGGUAAGAAGAUGCUCACUGAAAGUAAAACAGAAGAAACAAUUGUCAUCUUUCCCUCAAUGUCACGGGAGUUCUUUGGAGACUGAGAAGAUGGCAACAACGUAGUGCUCAGAAAAACCAUGAGAAACCAUGGCUAAGGAUACCGGUCUAUCAGAAAGUUGAUAUCUGUCUACUCUUUUAUGGUAAUCUCUCUGUGUGUCUCUCUCAUGCUUCUUUGAGCUCCACCCGACCCCCAUGGCAGUCUCUUAUUGAGAACGGCUGCCCUCAGACCACGGAGAUGGAAAAGUAAUCCCACUGUAGCUCCAGGUGGGGAAAAGAAUGGAUGGUACUGUCUUCCCCCAGCUGAAAGAAAUCCUGAAUUUGUCUGAUGGCCCAAUCAGGCCCCGAGAAGAUUAAAGUGCAGCGAACAUUCAGAAGCCCUCACGAGCCAUCGUGCAAAUGCCUCUCUGCACCAGGGCUGGCUUCCUGGGUGUGUAGCCUGUGGGGUUGUUUACAGUCCUGCCCUUGGAAGAGCCCACGCUUAGUUGAAUGCUUUGCUGUCAUUGUCUUGAAAUUUUUCAGACUUUUUGAGCAUGGGGCCUGCAUUUUAUCUUGGCACUGGGCCCUACAAAUUGCCUAUCUGUUCCUCUGCAGCCUAGUUCUGAAGUAUCCUAUUGUGCCUGAAAUGCCCGGAUAAUAACCAGAGGAGACAUCGACCAACAUUGACUCCAUCUGAGCUGGGAUGCUGACACAGUGCCCAUGCUUUCUAGCCUACCACCAGAUUUAACUCAGAGGUCCUGAGCUAGAAGCUAAGCUAACCACCAAGAAGGGUGCCUCUGGUCAAGUAAGGAACUACCAACCAUUCUAAGACCUGUUGGGCGAGCUUAUCAGGUUCCCAAUUUCUCCAGAAAUGCCUGGCAGUUUCAAGGAUCGAGAUAAGCACAGCUGUAAUCUACCAUGAUCCAGAGCUUAUUCACAGAUCACAGCUGUGUAAUUUCAGGUGGAUUCUUCACCACUGUGCCACCUGGAAAGCCCACAUAUGGAUGGAAAUAAAAGAAAACAAGAGGUGAUACCUUGCAAGAGAAAAACCUACGGAAGGUCACUGUGGCAUGCUUCCACCCCCUUUUAAUGUCCCAUCCUGUGCCCCUGUAGAAGAGUCUGUCCAUUGUGCUGAGGUUGAGGAAGCCUCUUCUGGAUGCACUACGCUGUCUGACUUUUAAUGAUUCCAGUACCUUCCUACCCCUUCUCUCUUCACUCUGGCCUCUCUUAUCAUUAACUAUAUUGCUUUUCUACUCUCUGAUCCAAGCUUCAGCCAAGCUACAUACCUACACAGUUGGUCCCUGCAUAAAAUUGUUUCUUUUUUUUUUUUUGGCUAUAUCACAGUAAUUCUUUGAAGUAAAGAAACUUGAAAAAUAAACUCUCUCUGGGAAGGAAAGCAUAGUAAUCCAUUCUCAGGCAUUCACAAUGAAGGUUAGCUUUAAAGUCUAGAAGUCAAGAGAUACCUGGCUGAUAAUUUGUGACAAAUGGCCAGAGGUCAGGGAAGUCCAUGAACAAGGCUAGGUAACAUCCCACAGGGCAUGGUCCUCAAUAGCUGGGAGGUGGCAUGAGGGAUCUUCUAGCUAAGGGAAGAGAGAAAAGCCAAACCAGGAGGGAUUAGGAAGAGUCCUUAAAGGAAAGAAGGAGAAAACUGAGAUCACACUGAACUUUUCACAAUAUUGUCUAUGUG
ensembl:lncRNA